rnacentral:rRNA from 1 species
AUUGAACGCUGGCGGCAGGCUUAACACAUGCAAGUCGAGCGCCGUAGCAAUACGGAGCGGCAGACGGGAGAGUAACACGUGGGAACGUACCCUUUGGUUCGGAACAACCCAGGGAAACUUGGGCUAAUACCGGAUAAGCCCUUACGGGGAAAGAUUCAUCGCCGAAGGAUCGGCCCGCGUCUGAUUAGCUAGUUGGUGGGGUAAUGGCCCACCAAGGCGACGAUCAGUAGCUGGUCUGAGAGGAUGAUCAGCCUCACUGGGACUGAGACACGGCCCAGACUCCUACGGGAGGCAGCAGUGGGGAAUAUUGGACAAUGGGCGCAAGCCUGAUCCAGCUAUGCCGCGUGGGUGAUGAAGGCCCUAGGGUUGUAAAGCCCUUUCGGCGGGGAAGAUAAUGACGGUACCCGCAGAAGAAGCCCCGGCUAACUUCGUGCCAGCCGCCGCCGUAAUAC